rnacentral:lncRNA from 1 species
CGACAACAGAGUCGUCUCCCACACUGCACUGGGUCUCAGUCGUACGACCUGUACCGGGAGAGACUUGAGGUGAGUUUAAAGCAUGCACCCUCCCGCUUGGAGUUUUGGUGGCACGCCCACCAAAAGAAAGGUGACGGUGGUUAUAUCUCACCUGAGGCAGAACGCAUUGCUGUAAGUUAUUUAAUGCUCUUAUUUAAUAUGUAUUUAAAAUUCGGAUAUUCUUUUAUAUUAUUUCAUUUUAUACUUUGCGUAUCAUCCACUAAUGUGUUUUUUGUCAGCGACGGUUCGAAGAUCUUGCAGUGGCCCGGAGCAGCCAGAGAGGUGACACUCCAGUAGACGAGUCUACGUGUGCAGACGAGGAGAUAGAGGACUGGCUGCAGGCUACAGGGGGACCGAAGAAGGGUAGAGUUGUGGGCAUUCCCCAUGUCCCAGCUUACACCCUAGUCCCUGCUGCGAGAUCUCGACGACGCCCACCCACUGGAGGUAGUGGUGCGAGUGGAUCGGGCGCCGGCCCUUCAUUAUCCGAUGACUUCUUCCGGCGGAUCAUAGAGGGGUGCAUGUCGAGCGGUGUUGUGCAGUCAGGCGCACCAUCACGCGAGCGGAUAUAUCAGCUGGCUCAGGAGGUUGUCCACGGCUCUAUCGAUCCUACAGCUGCCGUUGACGAUCUCAUGGGUGUAGUACGGGAGGAGGCCAUCCGCGUGUGUGCAGUUGUCUUGGCCAACAUCUUCCCACCACAUAUUCGACAGG